CGCCUUGCCAGCCCGCUCAAGAAACUUAAAGGAAGUUCGACGGGGCCCGCACAAGCGGUGGAGCAUGUGGUUUAAUUCGAUGAUACGCGAGGAACCUUACCUGGGCUCAAAUGUAUGUUGACGUAUUCUGAAAGGGAUACUUCUUCGGACAAUAUACAAGGUGCUGCAUGGUUGUCGUCAGCUCGUGCCGUGAGGUGCCGGGUUAAGUCCCAUAACGAGCGCAACCCCUAUCAUUAGUUGCCAUCAGGUCAAGCUGGGGACUCUAAUGAAACUGCCUACGCAAGUAGUGAGGAAGGUGGGGAUGACGUCAAAUCAGCACGGCCCUUACGGCCUGGGCUACACACGUGCUACAAUGGUCGGUACAAAGGGUUGCCAAGCCGCGAGGUGGAGCUAAUCCCAUAAAACCGAUCGUAGUCCGGAUCGCAGUCUGCAACUCGACUGCGUGAAGUCGGAAUCGCUAGUAAUCGUGAAUCAGAAUGUCACGGUGAAUACGUCCCGGGCCUU
rnacentral:rRNA from 1 species